GCACUGAGCAUCACAGCAAGAAGGUCAAGGGAUCCAUUCCUAAAUGUGACCUUCGUGUGGCGUUUGCAUGUUCUCCCCGUGAUUGUGUGGGUUCCUCCGGGUGCAUCAGCUUCCUCCCACAUCUAAAGGCAUGCAGAUUAGGUGGAUUGGAAACUUUAAAUUGUCCAUAGGUGUGCAUGUGGGUGUGAAUGUGUUUGUUUGCUUAUAUCGAAAGAGCACACG